rnacentral:rRNA from 1 species
GAUGAACGCUGGCGGCGUGCCUAAUACAUGCAAGUCGAGCGAACAGACGAGGAUCUUGCUCCGCUGACGUUAGCGGCGGACGGGUGAGUAACACGUGGAUAACCUACCUAUAAGACGGGUAUAACUUCGGGAAACCGGAGCUAAUACCGGAUAAGAUAUUGAACCGCAUGGUUCAAUAGUGAAAGACGGUUUUGCUGUCAGUUAUAGAUGGAUCCGCGCCGCAUCAGCUAGUUGGUAAGGUAACGGCUUACCAAGGCAACGAUGCGUAGCCGGCCUGAGAGGGUGACCGGCCACAGUGGGACUGAGAUACGGCCCAGACUGCUACGGGAGGCAGCAGUGGGGAAUAUUGCACAAUGGGCGGAAUCCGGAUGCAGCAACGCCGCGGGCGGGAUGACGGCCUUCGGGUUGUAAACCGCGUUCGCCUGUGACGAAGCGUGAGUGACGGUAAUGGGUAAAGAAGCACCGGCUAACUACGUG